GAUGAACGCUGGCGGCGUGCCUAACACAUGCAAGUCGAACGAAAAGGCGCUGCUCUUGCGGCGUGCUCGUGUGGCGCACGGGUGAGUAACACGCGAGUAACCUGCCCUUAUCUUUGGGAUAACUCCAGGAAAAUGGGGCUAUUACCGGAUAGGAUCUCCUGCAGCAUGGUGGGGGUUGGAAAGUUUCGGCGGUUGGGGAUGGUCUCGCGGCUUAUCAGCUUGUUGGGGUGGUAGGUGCUUACGAAGGCUUUGACGGGUAGCCGGCCUGGGAGGGUGACCGGCCACAUUGGGACUGAGAGACGGCGCAGACUCCUACGGGAGGCAACAGUGGGGAGUAUUGCACAGUGGGCGGAAGCGUGAGGCAGCAACGCCGCGUGCGGGAUGACGGCCUACGGGUUGUGAACCGAUUUCGACUGUGACGAAGCGUGAGUGACGGUAAUGGGUAAAGAAGCAACGGCUAACUACGUG
rnacentral:rRNA from 1 species